UACGUAGGGUGCAAGCGUUAAUCGGAAUUACUGGGCGUAAAGCGUGCGCAGGCGGUUAUGUAAGACAGUUGUGAAAUCCCCGGGCUCAACCUGGGAAUUGCAUUUGUGACUGCACGGCUAGAGUGUGUCAGAGGGGGGUAGAAUUCCACGUGUAGCAGUGAAAUGCGUAGAGAUGUGGAGGAAUACCGAUGGCGAAGGCAGCCCCCUGGGAUAACACUGACGCCUAUGCACGAAAGCGUGGGGAGCAAACAGG
rnacentral:rRNA from 1 species